rnacentral:rRNA from 1 species
AUGGGUACAUUGGUGCACAACGGUGUUACGGUGUGGCAUUGCCGCAUUGCCAAGUGGUGUGACCGCUGCGAAUUGGUUCUCUACGGGGGAAACAUGGCUUCACCAUUUGGCGCCACUUCUACCGUUGGGCUCAUGGCAGCUCCAACUGGCCUUGUAUCAGACAAGAAGCCAUUUUCAUUAUCAUCUAUCUCCCUUGCCGACAGGCCACGACAUGUGCGUCUUCAGAGGAAAUGCAACUUCAGAGUUAAAGCAGCUAAGGAGCUCUACUUCAACAAGGAUGGCUCAGCCACCAAGAAGCUACAGGUUGGAGUAAACAAGCUUGCAGAUCUUGUUGGAGUUACCUUGGGACCAAAGGGAAGGAAUGUUGUUUUGGAGAGCAAGUACGGGUCCCCCAAGAUUGUCAAUGAUGGUGUUACAGUUGCAAGAGAGGUUGAGCUGGAGGACCCUGUUGAAAAUAUUGGAGCUAAGUUGGUUAGGCAAGCUGCAGCGAAGACCAACGAUUUAGCUGGAGACGGGACAACUACUUCUGUCGUCCUUGCUCAGGGGCUCAUUGCUGAGGGUGUUAAGGUUAUUGCAGCUGGUGCUAACCCUGUUCAAAUUACUCGUGGUAUUGAGAAAACAGCGAAAGCACUAGUCCUUGAACUUAAGAAGAUGUCGAAGGAGGUUGAGGACAGUGAGCUUGCCGAUGUUGCUGCAGUCAGUGCUGGCAACAACUAUGAAAUCGGUAACAUGAUAGCAGAGGCUAUGAGCAAGGUCGGACGGAAGGGAGUGGUUACCCUUGAAGAGGGGAGGAGUUCCGAGAACAAUCUUUAUGUUGUGGAGGGAAUGCAGUUUGAGCGUGGUUAUAUCUCUCCUUAUUUCGUUACUGACAGCGAGAAAAUGACCACCGAGUACGAGAACUGCAAGUUGCUUUUGGUUGACAAGAAAAUCACCAAUGCACGGGACCUUAUCAAUGUUCUGGAGGAAGCCAUCAGGGGUCAAUACCCAAUCCUGAUCAUUGCUGAGGAUAUUGAGCAGGAGGCUCUUGCAACCCUUGUUGUUAACAAGCUCAGAGGUUCUUUGAAAAUUUGCGCUAUCAAAGCCCCUGGUUUUGGAGAGCGCAAGACCCAGUACCUGGACGACAUUGCCAUCCUCACCGGAGGAACUGUAAUCAGAGACGAGGUUGGACUCACACUUGACAAGGCAGAUAAUACAGUUCUAGGAACGGCUGCAAAGGUUGUCCUUACAAAGGAGUCGACAACAAUUGUUGGUGAUGGCAGCACCCAGGAAGAAGUGACUAAGAGGGUUGCACAGAUCAAAAAUCUCAUUGAGGCAGCAGAACAAGACUACGAGAAGGAAAAACUCAACGAGAGGAUUGCAAAGCUCGCCGGUGGUGUUGCUGUUAUUCAGGUGGGAGCACAAACAGAAACUGAACUUAAGGAGAAGAAGUUGAGAGUUGAGGAUGCUCUAAACGCAACCAAGGCUGCUGUUGAGGAAGGUAUUGUUGUUGGUGGAGGGUGCACUCUUUUGAGGCUGGCUGCUAAGGUUGAUGCCAUCAAGGACACCCUCGAUAACGACGAGCAGAAGGUUGGAGCUGAGAUAGUGAGGAGGGCGCUGUGCUACCCACUCAAGUUGAUCGCCAAGAAUGCCGGUGUCAAUGGCAGUGUUGUCACCGAGAAGGUUCUUUCUAACGACAACUUCAAGUUUGGCUACAACGCUGCCACUGGGCAGUACGAGGACUUGAUGGCUGCUGGUAUCAUCGACCCCACUAAGGUGGUGAGAUGUUGCCUGGAGCAUGCUGCGUCGGUGGCCAAGACCUUCCUGACGUCAGACGUGGUGGUCGUCGAGAUCAAGGAGCCCGAGGCCGCGCCCCUCGCCAACCCCAUGGACAACUCUGGCUUCGGAUACUGA